GACGAACGCUGGCGGCGUGCUUAACACAUGCAAGUCGAACGGAAAGGCCCUGCUUUUGUGGGGUGCUCGAGUGGCGAACGGGUGAGUAACACGCGAGUAACCUGCCCUUGACUUUGGGAUAACUUCAGGAAACUGGGGCGAAUACCGGAUAGGAGCUCCUGCUGCAUGGUGGGGGUUGGAAAGUUUCGGCGGUUGGGGAUGGACUCGCGGCUUAUCAGCUUGUUGGUGGGGUAGUGGCUUACCAAGGCUUUGAGGGGUAGCCGGCCUGAGAGGGUGACCGGCCCCAAUGGGCCUGAGAUACGGACCAGACUCCUACGGGAGGCAGCAGUGGGGAAUAUUGCACAAUGGGCGGAAGCCUGAUGCAGCGACGCCGGGUGCGAGAAGACGGCCUUCGGGUUGUAAACCGCUUUCGCCUGUGACGAAGCGUGAGUGACGGUAAUGGGUAAAGAAGCACCGGCUAACUACGUG
rnacentral:rRNA from 1 species